rnacentral:rRNA from 1 species
CGCUGGCGGCGUGCUUACACAUGCAAGUCGAGCGGAAAGGCCCUUCGGGGUACUCGAGCGGCGAACGGGUGAGUAACACGUGAGCAAUCUGCCCCUAGCUCUGGGAUAGCUCCGGGAAACCGGAAUUAAUACCGGAUAUGACUGCUUUUGACAUCUUUUGUGGUGGAAAGGGUUUCCGGCUGGGGAUGAGCUCGCGGCCUAUCAGCUUGUUGGUGGGGUAACGGCCUACCAAGGCGACGACGGGUAGCCGGCCUGAGAGGGCGACCGGCCACACUGGGACUGAGACACGGCCCAGACUCCUACGGGAGGCAGCAGUGGGGAAUAUUGCGCAAUGGGCGGAAGCCUGACGCAGCGACGCCGCGUGGGGGAUGACGGCCUUCGGGUUGUAAACCCCUUUCAGCAGGGACGAAGCGCAAGUGACGGUACCUGCAGAAGAAGCGCCGGCUAACUACGUGCCAGCAGCCGCGGUAACACGUAGGGCGCAAGCGUUGUCCGGAAUUAUUGGGCGUAAAGAGCUCGUANGCGGUUUGUUGCGUCUGCCGUGAAAUCUCGGGGCUUAACCCCGGGCCUGCAGUGGAUACGGGCAGACUAAAGGCAGGCAGGGGAGAAUGGAA